rnacentral:rRNA from 1 species
CAGCAGUAGCCACGGUAAUACGGAGGGUGCAAGCGUUAAUCGGAAUUACUGGGCGUAAAGCGCACGCAGGCGGUCUGACAAGUCAGAUGUGAAAUCCCCGGGCUCAACCUGGGAAUGGCAGUGGAUACUGGCAAGCUAGAGUGUGUCAGAGGAUGGUGGAAUUCCCGGUGUAGCGGUGAAAUGCGUAGAGAUCGGGAGGAACAUCAGUGGCGAAGGCGGCCAUCUGGGACAACACUGACGCUGAGGCACGAAAGCGUGGGGAGCAAACAGGAUUAGAUACCCCCGUAGUCCCUGUCUCUUAUAC